rnacentral:rRNA from 1 species
UCCCCCCAAUUCAUCCUUGCCGUUUUAUUUGCCCUCUCUCUCCCUAUCCUCCCUCUCUAUUUGCCUCUUUUGCCCGUUUGCUUUUUGUUUGCUCGUGUGUUAGAUUGCUCGUUUGUCGCGAUGGCUCAAGAUACUACUAAAUUGUGUGACUUCACCAAUACCAAUAAUAAUGAUUUCCUUAGCACUCCGAUUGCUCCUCUUAACGAUGUUGAAUCUUGUGAAAUUAAUACUGCUUUGUUGAAUCUUGUUAUGAAAGAUCAAUCUGCCGGCCUUCCUAGUGAAGAUGCUGCUACUCAUCUGAAUAGCUUCGUUGAUUUAUGUGAUAUGCAAAAGAGAAAAGAUGUCAAUAAUGAUGUCGUUAAAUUGAAGCUAUUUCCUUUUUCGCUUAGAGAUCAUGCUAAAGCUUGGUUUUCGUCUUUGCCUAAGAAUAGUAUUGAUUCAUGGAACAAGUGCAAAGAUGCUUUUAUCUCUAAAUAUUUUCCUCCCGCUAAGAUCAUCUCUCUUAGAAACGAUAUUAUGAACUUUAAACAACUUGAUCAUGAACAUGUUGCACAAGCUUGGGAGAGAAUGAAAUUAAUGAUACGUUGCCCUACUCAUGGUUUGAAUUUGUGGAUGAUUAUACAAAAAAUUUAUGCCAGAUUGAAUUUUGCUUCUAGAAAUCUUUUAGAUUCGGCCGCGGGAGGCACUUUUAUGGAAAUCACUUUAGGAGAUGCUACUAAACUCCUAGAUAAUAUUAUGGUUAAGUAUUCUCAAUGGCAUACUGAAAAAUCUUCUAAUAAAAAAGUGCAUGCGAUAGAAGAAAUUAAUGUGUUGAGUGGAAAGAUGGAU